rnacentral:rRNA from 1 species
UACGUAGGGGGCUAGCGUUGUCCGGAUUUAUUGGGCGUAAAGAGCGUGUAGGCGGCCAUGUAGGUCCGGUGUGAAAACUCGAGGCUUAACCUCGAGAUGUCAUCGGAAACCAUUUGGCUAGAGUCCGGAAGAGGAGAGUGGAAUUCCUGGUGUAGCGGUGAAAUGCGCAGAUAUCAGGAAGAACACCAAUGGCGAAGGCAGCUCGCUGGGACGGUACUGACGCUGAGGCGCGAAAGCGUGGGGAGCAAACAGG